rnacentral:rRNA from 1 species
CAGCCGCCGCGGUAAUACCGGCGGCCCGAGUGGCGGUCACUAUUAUUGGGCUUAAAGCGUCCGUAGCCGGGUUGGGAAGUCCUCCGGGAAAUCUGGCCGCUUAACGGUCAGAAUGCCGGAGGAUACUCCCAGCCUAGGGAGCGGGGGAGGCCGAGGGGAUUCCCGGGGUAGGGGUGAAAUCCUAUAAUCCCGGGAGGACCCCCUGUGGCGAAGGCGCUCGGCUGGAACGCGUCCGACGGUGAGGGACGAAGGCCAGGGGAGCAAACCGGAUUAGAUACCCGGGUAGUCCUGGCUGUAAACGAUGCGGACUUUGUGUCGGACAAGCUAUGAGCUUGUCCGGUGCCGGAGGGAAACCGUUAAGUCCGCCGCCUGGGGAGUACGGCCGCAAGGCUGAAACUUAAAGGAAUUGGCGGG